rnacentral:lncRNA from 1 species
CGACACGCGGGAGUUUUGGCCCGUGGCUUACGGCGUUAGGCAGACUGGCAGGCCCUGCCCGGGUCUUGAGUUACCUGAAGGCCGAGCUGGCCGACACCAGCUGACGCUCUCCGCGGAAAUGAGGAAACCGAUGACUGCUGGCGUUAUCGCUUGAGUUAGUAGCGAGGCAAACGUCUACGUUACUCAGCGCAGAGAUACCCAGAGUAUCGUAAAAGUGGUUUAUAGCACAUCGCGUCUGCUGGUCUCCCUGAAGGGAGACGCAAAGGUCUGACGACUGACAGGGUCACAGGGGGCCGAGGUGCCCAGAAGAAACUGGGAGGUGUGCUGUUUCUCCUGCGUUUCUAUCACUUGCCUGUUUUUUCCUGCAGCACAGUGAGGAGAUACUAGCUCAGGUCUUGCAAGCGGUAUAACUCUGUCAGAGUCACUCUACACCCGUGCUAAUUAACUGAGCCUUUCAGCAGAGCUAAUUAACUGAAGCAGAAUACUUCAAUGGCCCAGCAAUCCUAUGCAUCAAGUUUUGGACAACCAAGAGGACACCGAUGAGAAUAAGAGAUUUAGAAAGCAUGCUAAUGAGGAGAAUUUAAAGAUCUGGACAGACACAAGAUAACUGGGCACAAGAUAACUGUCUUCAGUUCUAUGCAAGGCAUGCAUCGAGGAAGUCAUAUUAUGCACUGAUUCAUGAAAUAUGCAUCAAGUAUUGGUUAAACAGAAUGGAAGAGAACAUGAAAAAACUACAUGGAGUGAGCCAAGGGAUGGAAGCAUCCUGCUGCCGUUUUGGACUCGUGUCCAUUAUCUAGAUCUUUGGAUCUCUUUUGACUCAGCCACUUUCCAGAGUAAAGGGGAACAAGAUCUAUUAUUCAGGUCCUAGCACUGUCCCUAAUUAUUCCAUGCAGUGUGAGGCACGUUGCCAACAGAGUGGUCCAAUGCCUAGGAAACUUUUUUGAAUUGCUUUCCUGAGGGACAGAAGCCAAACCAUUAUGUACUACUUUCCUAGGAAAAGAUCAAAGCCAGAGUGAGUAGAUUAAACUUGUGAUAAGAGUGGCAUCUGAUGGCUCUGAAACCCCUCAGGAUGCUGGGGACGGACAUACUGAUUUUCCAGGUAUCACAUAUAGAUGUUUCCCCAUUGUUAAUAGAAAGUCUUUGAAGAUUUUGAAAUUCCACUAGGAAUCAAAUUCCACUAGGAACUGCAAUUCUCAGUACUCAAAUGCCUACGUUUCCUGUGUGGAGCGAGCUUGCCGAUUUGAACAGUUUGGGUACUUUUGGCCAACUACCUCACAUUUUGUUUCUAUAAAUAAACAUGUAUAUAGAGCCA